rnacentral:rRNA from 1 species
UCGAACGGUAGCAGGAAGUGCUUGCACUUCGCUGACGAGUGGCGGACGGGUGAGUAAUACUUGGGAAUGUGCCUUUACGAGGGGGAUAACUAUUGGAAACGAUAGCUAAUACCGCAUAAUGUCUACGGACCAAAGGGGGCUUUUAGCUCUCGUGUAAAGAGCAGCCCAAGCGAGAUUAGCUAGUUGGUGUGGUAAAGGCGCACCAAGGCGACGAUCUCUAGCUGUUCUGAGAGGAAGAUCAGCCACACUGGAACUGAGACACGGUCCAGACUCCUACGGGAGGCAGCAGUGGGGAAUAUUGCACAAUGGGGGAAACCCUGAUGCAGCCAUGCCGCGUGUGUGAAGAAGGCCUUCGGGUUGUAAAGCACUUUCAGUCGUGAGGAAAGGGAUACGGUUAAUACCCGUGUUCUGUGACGUUAGCGACAGAAGAAGCACCGGCUAACUCCGUGCCAGCAGCCGCGGUAAUACGGAGGGUGCGAGCGUUAAUCGGAAUUACUGGGCGUAAAGCGCACGCAGGCGGUUUGUUAAGCUAGAUGUGAAAGCCCCGGGCUCAACCUGGGAAUAGCAUUUAGAACUGGCAGGCUAGAGUCUUGGAGAGGGGAGUGGAAUUCCAGGUGUAGCGGUGAAAUGCGUAGAUAUCUGGAGGAACAUCAGUGGCGAAGGCGACUCCCUGGCCAAAGACUGACGCUCAUGUGCGAAAGUGUGGGUAGCGAACAGGAUUAGAU